UUUCCGUAGGUGAACCUGCGGAAGGAUCAUUAUUGAAAACAAGGGUGUCCAAUUUAACUUGGAACCCAAACUUCUCAAUUCUAACUUUGUGCAUCUGUAUUAAUGGCGAGCAACUUCGGUUGUGAGCCUUCACUUACAAAACACUAGUCUAUGAAUGUAAAAUUUUUAUAACAAAUAAAAACUUUCAACAACGGAUCUCUUGGCUCUC
rnacentral:misc_RNA from 1 species